AGUGAACGCUGGCGGUAGGCCUAACACAUGCAAGUCGAACGGCAGCACAGUAAGAGCCUGCUCUUACGGGUGGCGAGUGGCGGACGGGUGAGGAAUACAUCGGAAUCUACUUUUUCGUGGGGGAUAACGUAGGGAAACUUACGCUAAUACCGCAUACGACCUACGGGUGAAAGCAGGGGAUCUUCGGACCUUGCGCGAUUGAAUGAGCCGAUGUCGGAUUAGCUAGUUGGCGGGGUAAAGGCCCACCAAGGCAACGAUCCGUAGCUGGUCUGAGAGGAUGAUCAGCCACACUGGAACUGAGACACGGUCCAGACUCCUACGGGAGGCAGCAGUGGGGAAUAUUGGACAAUGGGCGCAAGCCUGAUCCAGCCAUACCGCGUGGGUGAAGAAGGCCUUCGGGUUGUAAAGCCCUUUUGUUGGGAAAGAAAAGCAGCAGGUUAAUACCCCGCUGUUCUGACGGUACCCAAAGAAUAAGCACCGGCUAACUUCGUG
rnacentral:rRNA from 1 species